GACGAAAAACAACGAGUACAAAAUAUUCGGACUCUUCGUACUAAGUAUUCCCUUUGACGGGCCGGACGAUCCCGCGAGGGCGAACCCCGGGCAACGAUAGUUUCUCAUCGGACCGAACCCGAAAGAUCUAACCGAUAAAUUGGACGAGUCUAGACAAGCGAUCCCUUCUAAAAUGGCCCCGAUGUACCCCAAAUGGGCCCACUCAUGCUUGCCCAUGCAUACCUACUUAGGCCCGGCCCAUACAAUUGGCCCAUCCCGGCCCGUAAUAGGCCCGGCCCGGCCCAUUGAUUGCCUGCUUUUCUUAGUUCUAGAGAGAGAGAGACGAGAGGAGAGAGAGAGAGAGAGAGAGAGAGAGAGAGAUGGGAGCUGCGAGCAAAGCAGGGGAUUUGGCGUUCAAGUCUUUCACGGCGGCGCUCGGCGUCGCCACCGUGUAUCUGGCGGCCACCCUCUCCGUCAACGUCUACCGAGGCCUCGCCUGGCACAAUGCUCAAUCGAAAAUUGAUGAGCAAGGCUCUAACGAGGAAUCUACUUGACCUCUAACUCUCGUCGGUGCUGCCAAUCUACAAGCGUAUCAAGCAGCUUCAAUUGCCAUAUGAUGUUUGCUCCUGCAAUGUGAUCCGUUGAGUUGAAGGAUAAAUCCCGCCGCUCCGGUGAGGAAGCAUUGGCUUUAUGCAGCUGGUAUUUUUUUUUUUGCUAGGGAUGUUAAACUGCUUGUGAUAAUUCUUAUACGUUGAAUUUUAAGGCUGGCAUUGAAUAGCAACUCUUUCUUCCGUUGAUACCCAUUUUGAUGGUUGCCACAACAAAACUCACGGGUCAAUCAUAGAAGGGCGACGAUGGAAGGGUGAAAUAAGGGCAUUGUACUAUGAUUCUAUUUUCACUAUAUUGCUGCUGCUGCUGCUGCUAUUACCUUCCUAUAAUUGUUGGAUAACUCCAACUAGUGUCUUAGGACUUGAACCAUUGGGUUAAACUACUGCUUGUAUCUUAUCAAUCCAGUCAAGAGAAGGACAUUGAUCCCACCCACCAUUUGGAAAGUUGUGAAUAAAUCCCUAAUCGGUUUCCUUUCAA